rnacentral:tRNA from 1 species
CGGGGCGUAGCUUAGCUUGGCUAGAGCGCUUGCUUUGGGAGCAAGAGGCCACAGGUUCAAAUCCUGUCGCCCCGACCA